UCUUGAUGCAUUCUGGUGGUGUUCCAGUCCUUGAGUUCUUUUCCAUCUGUAGUUCGUGAUUUUUUUUCUCUACAUUCUUUUCUGAUCUACUCUGCACUUUGCAUUUUACUUAGUAGUUGGGAUCUUUCCGCGAGGCUGGGGCGUGGGGCCGGCCGGUCGGACCACUGGACCUGGCUGCAGGCCAUGGUCGGGAUCGACGACGCCGCGGCCGGGGACGCAGCCGGCGCGCGGCAGCCCGAGUUGACGCCCAUCUCCUUCGCUUCAGCCACGAACAUCAGCAGGUCGGCGGCGGCGCGGCGAAGCAGCCAGCGCGUGGGAGGACGCAAUACCGCCUAAAUCGGAUAGCGUCGAAGCUAGGUGGACUCAAGGGCCUAGCAACAACUUGCUCGAAGGAAGCCUCCCGCCGGAGCUCGCCGAGCACGAGAGACUCAUGUUGCUCGACCUCUGGAGCCUCAUCGAAGGGCUGUCGGAGUUCCUGCAGUGCAUGGCGUCGCUGAAGGGCCUGCAGCCAACAGCCCGCUCAGAGGUAGGUUAAUGUGCUCUGGCUCGGAGAAGAUGGCGAGCCUGGCCACGCUAGACCUGUCCAAUGCCGGGCUGGUCGGGAGCAUCCCGGAGUCCAUGGCGGCGAUGCCUCCUCUUGGUGCCGAGCAUCGGGGAAUCUACAUGUCGUAGUUUCGGCAUGAUCUAUUUUUCUUCAUGAUGUUUUCGGCAUAGAUGCUAGCUGUACCUUAGUACACAAAUUCGCAUGUUGUUUCAAUUCAUGUCCGCAACUUCUAUAAGUUAUUUGCCUAGCCGCACCAUUCUUGUAUGUACAUUCUUAUGCCAACAGAAUUUACAGCACUAGUUUCUGAUC